GGUUAGCGGCGGACGGGUGAGUAACACGUGGGCAACCUGCCUAUAAGACUGGGAUAACUUCGGGAAACCGGAGCUAAUACCGGAUAAUCCUUUUCCUCUCAUGAGGAAAAGCUGAAAGACGGUUUCGGCUGUCACUUAUAGAUGGGCCCGCGGCGCAUUAGCUAGUUGGUGAGGUAAUGGCUCACCAAGGCGACGAUGCGUAGCCGACCUGAGAGGGUGAUCGGCCACACUGGGACUGAGACACGGCCCAGACUCCUACGGGAGGCAGCAGUAGGGAAUCUUCCGCAAUGGACGAAAGUCUGACGGAGCAACGCCGCGUGAACGAUGAAGGCCUUCGGGUCGUAAAGUUCUGUUGUUAGGGAAGAACAAGUACCGGAGUAACUGCCGGUACCUUGACGGUACCUAACCAGAAAGCCACGGCUAACUACGUGCCAGCAGCCGCGGUAAUACGUAGGUGGCAAGCGUUGUCCGGAAUUAUUGGGCGUAAAGCGCGCGCAGGCGGUUCCUUAAGUCUGAUGUGAAAGCCCCCGGCUCAACCGGGGAGGGUCAUUGGAAACUGGGGAACUUGAGUACUGAAGAGGAAAGCGGAAUUCCACGUGUAGCGGUGAAAUGCGUAGAGAUGUGGAGGAACACCAGUGGC
rnacentral:rRNA from 2 species